GAUGAAGAACGCAGCGAAAUGCGAUAAGUAAUGUGAAUUGCAGAAUUCAGUGAAUCAUCGAAUCUUUGAACGCACAUUGCGCCCCUUGGUAUUCCGAGGGGCAUGCCUGUUCGAGCGUCAUUAUAACCCCUCAAGCUCGGCUUGGUGUUGGGGCCUGCCGCACGGGCAGCCCUUAAAAUCAGUGGCGGUGCCAUCUGGCUCUAAGCGUAGUAAUUCUUCUCGCUAUGGAGUCCUGGUGGAUGCUUGCCAUCAACCCCCAAUUUUUCUAUGGUUGACCUCGGAUCAGGUAGGGAUACCCGCUGAACUUAAGCAUAUCAAUAAGCGGAGGA
rnacentral:misc_RNA from 1 species